GUACACCCGGCUCCAUCUCGAACCCGGCAGUUAAGGUCACCAGCGCGGAUGGUACUGCGAGGGCAGCUUCGUGGGAGAGUACGCCACUGCCAACC
rnacentral:rRNA from 1 species